rnacentral:rRNA from 1 species
UACGUAGGGUGCAAGCGUUAAUCGGAAUUACUGGGCGUAAAGCGUGCGCAGGCGGUUCGCUAAGACAGAUGUGAAAUCCCCCGGGCUUAACCUGGGAACUGCAUUUGUGACUGGCGGGCUAGAGUAUGGCAGAGGGGGUAGAAUUCCACGUGUAGCAGUGAAAUGCGUAGAGAUGUGGAGGAAUACCGAUGGCGAAGGCAGCCCCCUGGGCCAACUACUGACGCUCAUGCACGAAAGCGUGGGGAGCAAACAGG